rnacentral:hammerhead_ribozyme from 1 species
ACCCAGCCGAUGAGUCUCAAAUAGGACGAAAUGCACGUCUUGUAU